AGGGAAUCUUCCGCAAUGGACGAAAGUCUGACGGAGCAACGCCGCGUGAGUGAUGAAGGUUUUCGGAUCGUAAAGCUCUGUUGCCAGGGAAGAACGUCCGUUAGAGUAACUGCUAACGGAGUGACGGUACCUGAGAAGAAAGCCCCGGCUAACUACGUGCCAGCAGCCGCAGUAAUACGUAGGGGGCGAGCGUUGUCCGGAAUUAUUGGGCGUAAAGCGCGCGCAGGCGGCUGUUUAAUUCUGGUGUUUAAUCCUGGGGCUCAACCCCGGGUCGCACUGGAAACUGGACAGCUUGAGUGCAGAAGAGGAGAGUGGAAUUCCACGUGUAGCGGUGAAAUGCGUAGAGAUGUGGAGGAACACCAGUGGCGAAGGCGGCUCUCUGGUCUGUAACUGACGCUGAGGCGCGAAAGCGUGGGGAGCAAAC
rnacentral:rRNA from 1 species